UUCCAUGGACAGAGGAGCCUGGCGGUCUACAAUCUAUGGGGUCGAAAGAGUCGGACACUACCGAGCGAUAACACUUUGACUUUUCACUUUCCUCUUCCUUGCUUCAUUUUUCUCUAUGGCACCAUCACCAUUUGAUACAGUAUAUUUUUCUUCACAAUGUCAUGAGGGCACGGAUUUUUGUCAGUUUUUUACUAUUUCCUCAGUACUUAGAGCUGUAUCAGUCCCAAAGUAGGUGCUCAAUAAGUAUUUGUGGCUUUUGGCACGGGCAGCAGAGGAGUUCCGGAAAACCGCUGCACUGCAAGUUGGCUCAACUGAGACUGCCGCUGUGGUCAUCCAGUCCUCAGAUCCUGUGUGGACGGCUACCAGGCCUCCGAAUUUCCAAGAGCGAAUAGCCACCACCCUCCCGCCUCUUUGUGAAUAGCGGGAAGGGUGCAGGAGGUGCUUCCCGCACCCAAAGUCAGUACAAGGUUGCCGGGCCAGUGAGCGCCCGGCUCGAGCAAGCGCCACUCCCAGCAGUCGGAACGUUUGCGCGUCACUACCGCGCGCGGCGGAAGGACUUCGGCGGAGCACUUAGAACGGAUUGAGCAGAACUUCCGGGAGAACAGAGCUCGGCAGGACAGUCAGUUCGAAUUAAGAAAUUCUUGUAUGCAGUGAGCCAGAGGUGUUCCUGAUUGCAGCUUCUGCUCAUUGGUUCUCACGUUGUUUCUGAACUUUCAGG